rnacentral:misc_RNA from 1 species
GAUGAAGAACGCAGCAAAAUGCGAUACUUGGUGUGAAUUGCAGAAUCCCGUGAACCAUCGAGUUUUUGAACGCAAGUUGCGCCCGAAGCCUUUUGGCCGAGGGCACGUCUGCCUGGGCGUCACGCAUCGCGUCGCCCCCCACAAAUUCUCCGUCAGGGGAGCUUGUGUUUCGGGGGCGGAUACUGGUCUCCCGUGCUCAUGGCGCGGUUGGCCGAAAUAGGAGUCCCUUCGAUGGACGCACGAACUAGUGGUGGUCGUAAAAACCCUCGUCUUUUGUUUCGUGCCGUUAGUCGCGAGGGAAGCUCUUCAAAAACCCCAACGCGUCGUCGACCGCGACCCCAGGUCAGGCGGGACUACCCGCUGAGUUUAAGCAUAUCAAUAAGCGGAGGA